CCUACGGGUGGCAGCAGUGGGGAAUAGUGCACAAUGGGGGAAACCCUGAUGCAGCAACGCCGCGUGAAGGAAGACGGUUUUCGGAGUGUAAACUUCUGUUCGUAGGGAAGAAGAAUGACGGUAGCGAAGGAGCAAGCCACGGCUAACUACGUGCCAGCAGCCGCGGUAAGACGUAGGUGGCAAGCGUUGUCCGGAAUUACGGGGGGUAAAGGGAGCGCCGGCGGGAAGCAAAGUCAGCUGUGAAAACUACGGGCUUAACUUGUAGACUGCAGUUGAAACUGGCAGUCUUGAGUACAGUAGAGGUGGGCUGCAUUCGUGGUGUAGCGGUGUCAUGCUUAGCUAUC
rnacentral:rRNA from 1 species